GGGGAGGACACCAUCUGAGUGG
rnacentral:miRNA from 1 species